AGAGGAAGUAAAAGUCGUAACAAGGUCUCCGUUGGUGAACCAGCGGAGGGAUCAUUACCGAGUUUACAACUCCCAAACCCCUGUGAACAUACCUAUUUGUUGCCUCGGCGGUGCCUGUUCCGACAGCCCGCCAGAGGACCCCAAACCCUGAUUACAUUUAAGAAGUCUUCUGAGUAAACCGAUUAAAUAAAUCAAAACUUUCAACAACGGAUCUCUUGGUUCUGGCAUCGAUGAAGAACGCAGCGAAAUGCGAUAAGUAAUGUGAAUUGCAGAAUUCAGUGAAUCAUCGAAACUUUGAACGCACAUUGCGCCCGCUAGUAUUCUGGCGGGCAUGCCUGUCCGAGCGUCAUUUCAACCCUCAAGCCCCCGGGCUUGGUGUUGGGGAUCGGCGAGCCUCCGCGCCCGCCGUCCCCUAAAUCUAGUGGCGGUCUCGCUGUAGCUUCCUCUGCGUAGUAGCACACCUCGCACUGGGAAACAGCGCGGCCACGCCGUUAAACCCCCAACUUCUGAACGUUUGACCUCGGAUCAGGUAGGAAUACCCGCUGAACUUAAGCAUAUCAAUAAGC
rnacentral:rRNA from 1 species